rnacentral:lncRNA from 10 species
CUUUGCCCUUCUCGAGGCCGGUGCUUGACUGGAGGAGGGCUGGCAGCAGAAGUGCAGCUGACCGGGUUGCGUUUUCGUACGGCUGACUAAAGCGGAUACCGGUGGCGACUCAUUUCUCGUUUUAUUUUUCAACGAUUUGGCGGAGAAGCUCCUCUUGUGAAUGGACUUUGGAUUUCUUGGAGCUGCGCUGCGGGUCCCACAGUGUGGCUUUCGGCCCGUGCUGUGCUGGCGCCUGCACUUCCUCUGGCGGGGCACGGGGUGGCGCUCCCUGGUAAAGCAGCGGCCAGGGGGAGCCGUGAGUGAGGCGCUGCCUCUCCCGCUGAAGCGGGUUCCAAGGCCACCGUGAGGGGGACCAUCCAUCCAGGUAAAACGUGUUCUUUCCUUGUUCCUUUGCGAAUCGAUGGGGAUCAGGCUUCCCCAGGUGGUGAAGUGAGGAACAGGGACCGCGGGGCUCGCCUGACCAGUGGGGUCUCCAUCCUUGUCCGUGCUGACAAAAGACAAGAACAGACAGCGCCUGAAAUCUUCCCGCCUCCGUGAGGGAAGCCUGCGUCUGGGAACGCGCCGCAGGGAAGUGAUCCCUGAGUGAGGGAGGAGGUGCCGGGGCAUCAUUAAUCAGACCUCAAUGCCGGGAAGGUUCUUUGUUUAAAGAAACACUCAUGUUUAAAGAGCACUUGGUGCGGACUUGCUGUGGCCAUCGCCCUCAACAGCUCAUCUUUAGGAGGUGCAGGCUGAAUUCACGCCUCGGUGUCGUCCAUGUCUGCCUGCCGCGCAGAGGAGACAGCGAGAGGCCUUCCCACCGCACGGCUUUUACGGGAAGCUCUUCGCAUUGGCUACAGGGGUGUGGUUUGGUUUAUAGCCACACCAAGUAAUUUUAAUAGAACUCAAUAACUGUGUUGCCUUGCAGGCUCCGAGUGCUACAGGCAGACCCGAGUCCGAGUCUUCCUACGGUUCAUUGUCCCCCCCUGGAUUUCCUAGGGACUCCAGAUACGAUGGCAUCGAUGUCAGUUAACUUGGCACUUCUUAAAAUAGAUCUAUGAUCAAAUCUUAAGUUUUUCCGAAUAAGACUCUGGAGGAAUGCAGGAAGGUCAUUUGAUUACUUUAAAAUAAGAGGAUUUUAUGUUAAAAUAUUGAAAAAGCCAGUCAUAAAACUAAGCUCUGUACCAAUGAAUAUAGUUCGCGAAGCCAGCAGCACAGGCUUAUUAUUAUAAAUAUCAAACACCACCAUUA